AGCGCGGUAGAGCAGUGGUAGCUCACUUGGCUCAUAACCAAGAGGUCGUAGGUUCAAGUCCUGCCCGCGCAA
rnacentral:tRNA from 1 species